GACGUAGGGCGCGAGCGUUGUCCGGAUUUAUUGGGCGUAAAGAGCUCGUAGGCGGCUUGUCGCGUCGACUGUGAAAACUCGGGGCUCAACUCCGAGCUUGCAGUCGAUACGGGCAGGCUAGAGUUCGGUAGGGGAGACUGGAAUUCCUGGUGUAGCAGUGAAAUGCGUAGAUAUCAAGUGGAACACCAGUGGCGAAGGCGAGUCUCUGGACAUUUCCUGACGCUGAGGCACGAAAGCCAGGGGAGCAAACGGG
rnacentral:rRNA from 1 species